AGAUACGGCCCAGACUCCUACGGGAUGCAGCAGCUAAGAAUCUUCCGCAAUGGACGACAGUCUGACGGAGCGACGCCGCGUGGGUGAUGAAGGCCGUGAGGUUGUAAAGCCCUUUUCUGUCUGAGGAAUAAGCGUGCGAGGGAAUGCCCGCGUUAUGACUGUAGGACAGGAAUAAGCCCCGGCUAAUUACUUGCCAGCAUCCGCGGUACCACGUAUGGGGCGAGCGUUGUUCGGAAUUAUUGGGCGUAAAUGGCGCGUAGGCGGAUAUACGAGUCUGGUGUGACAGACCUCCGCUCAACUGCGGACUCGCGCUGGAAACUGUAUGUCUUGAAUCCUUGAGGGGGAACUGGAAUUCCUGGUGUAGGGGUGACAUCUGUAGAUAUCAGGAAGAACAUCGGUGGCGAAGGCGAGUUCCUGGCGAGUGAUUGACGCUGACGCGCGAAAGCGUGGGGAGCGAACAUGAUUCAGAUACCCUGGUAUUCCACUCCGUAUACGAUGUGCACUACGCCGUUGCGGGUGUGGAAACCUCAGUGCCUGAGCUAACGUGUUAAGUGCUCCGCCUGGGGAUUAUGCCGGCGACGGUGAAACUCGUAGGAAUUGACGGGGGCCCCGUACAAGCGGUGUAGCAUGUGGUUUAACUCGAUGAUACGCGAGGACACUUACCAGGGCUUGACUAUAUACGGGGUAGUCUUGGUAGUCCACGGCGCUCCUCGGAGCUCGUAUACAGG
rnacentral:rRNA from 1 species